rnacentral:rRNA from 1 species
GCUUAGCCGUAAAAUUUGACAGUAAUAUACAACUGCUGUCCGCCAGGGGACUACAAGCGCCAGCUUAAAACCCAAAGGACUUGGCGGUGCCUCAGACCCACCUAGAGGAGCCUGUUCUAGAACCGAUAACCCCCGUUCAACCUCACCUCCCCUUGUUAUCCCCGCCUAUAUACCGCCGUCGUCAGCAUACCCUGUGAAGGGAAUAUAGUAUGCACAAUGGGUAAACCCCAAAACGUCAGGUCGAGGUGUAGCGUAUGGGGAGGGAAGAAAUGGGCUACAUUCUCUAAUCUAGAGUACUACGGAAGGGGCUGUGAAACCGACCCCUGAAGGUGGAUUUAGCAGUAGAUGGGAACUAGAGCGUCCUGUCGAAACUGGCUCUGAGGCGCGC